rnacentral:sRNA from 1 species
GCGGCUCUGGAAUACUCGUUGCGAAUACGUUUGAGUCCCUGACUACCUUUCCUUAUCAAGAUGUCCCUGGUUUCAGUCGUGGUGAGCAAGCCCUCAUCAAAGCAGAGGGAAGCCUGAAGCGUCUCACCGGGGUAUGUUGCGGCAAAGGUCAGUAACUCAAUCCCCCCCCCGCACGGUACUCCGGAGCGAUU